GAUUUUCACGACAACCGGAAGCUGCAUCUGAAAGGGCUGGAGCACUUCCUGUUUUGGUGACUGUAAUUCAAGUACUCUGAAAAAUGUCUCUCCUCCUCCAGUCCUUUCCAUAAUCCUUACUUAAUUUGCCAGCACUUUGUUUCGCUGAUGCGGAGGAAAUCGCAGCGGUGAAUUCGCCCACCAACAAAUGUGUGAAAGGAUACAAGUUCUUCCACGAAGAAUAUAUCCACAACUAUCAAGGUAAGAAAAGACGUAGUUUAGUGAGCUAAACGCUAGCUACAAUAUAUGAACUAUAUAAACAUAAUAAUGAUAAUGAAGUCUAACUUAGUUUGCUAAAUUACGUGGAAUAUUGGAGACAGACAUAGUUUAAACGUUUAAAUUAGAUUUUGACAUUCUGAAAUGUAUUUGCCAGUACAGUUUGUGGAAAAACAGCAUGCUAGAACUUAGUUAUGAUAUACUAGAUGACGCUUGAUGUUGAAACUAUGUUUUACUUCUGCAUGCGUGUAGUGUCAAAUAUUAUCCAGGGACAGGUAGUUGUCUAGAUGCUUCAGAUCCAUGAAGAAAAAUGAGGAACCGCACAAGCUUAAGGUUUGAAACAGUCAGAAAACCGGUUGGCUCUUGUUCGUUAGUUCGAGUUCCUGUUCAUGUUUGACAGCUGAAGAACUUUCACGUACGACUUCUGGACUACUCAGAGCUUAUUCUAACAUCUUCCUUUUCAGUGGUUACUAUUUGUUUUCUGUUUCUGUUGCGGUUGCAACAUAGUCUGUGGGGUUUUUUUCUGCUGUUGUUGAACUUUACCUUCAAACUAGAAUCUAUUACUUGUUUAAAGCUAAACAUGCUAUAUGUAUUGAUGCAUAUAUGUGUUGCUAAAACACUUGUCUAUUUUAGAUAUCACUGGGUGUUGGAAAAGAAAAGGCUGAGUUAUUGGAUUAUUCCUGUGGUUGUGCAGCUGGUAAAGGUUUUUGCAAUCAUGUAGUUGCACUUCUUUACCAGACUGCACACUACUCCCAACUACAGCUGCCAACUGUUCUUCCUGCACUGGCCUACACAAGUGAUUUACAAAGAUGGCACAGACCAAUAACACAAAUAAGAAAAAAAGAGUGGAACACAUUGUCCUGUGGGGAUACAUCCUGAGCCUGUCAGCGACGUGGUUGUGCGGAAACUAUGGGGAAAUAUCUCCACUCCACAAUUUACAGAGCUUACACAGGACCACUUCCAGAUCUUGACAUUCUGGCAUCAGGAGAAAAACUACACCAACUGGAGUACCAACCACUUAUGGCUCUUGUACUAGAUGGUCUUUCAAAUUUGGAGCUGGUUCCAUCCAAAUUUGGGCCUGUGCCACAGGGCUCACCAUUGUCUUAUCAGUGCCCACCUUAGAAGUCCUCUGGUAGCAUCAUUCUGCACCACAUGGCUCCAGACUUCCCUUCUCUUCCUUCGAUGCUGCAUAGUCUUCCGAAUAUGUGUUUUGUGCAUACACUCGGUCAACUUAUGCAUCUUCAGUCUCUGCAAGUGUCACUGGAAAUGUCUUAUGAAAUAGAGGCCAGAACAAGAGAGCAGUCCAGAUGUCCUGCAUGGGUACAUCUUCGACAGCCAAGACUUACUGCUAGCCGUUUCCGUGAUGCUUGCAGAGGAAGUGCAGAGGAGGAGUCUGCUGCCACAGCACUGGCAUCUCGGAUGAUCAGGAGGUCCACUAGACAAACUGCCGCCAUGAAGCGUGGUCUGCAGAUAGAGUCUAAGGUGCUGGCAAACUAUGCUGAGAUGUUGAGGGUCAAUGUGCUCCCUGUGGGAUUCAUUGUUCGCCCUGACACAUCAUAUCUUGGUGUAACUCCAGAUGGCAGGGUGUAUGACUCGUCAGAAUCACCCCCGUUUGGACUGGUUGAGGUAAAAAGCAGUAUGAAGAAUGAUGUGUCUCAGGUUGCUCACCUCAAGGUUCAGGAUGGCCAUGCUAUUUUGAGGCGUUCACACACAUACUACUGGCAGGUAUAGGGUCAGCUGGAAAUCACCGGAUUGGAAUGGUGCAACUUUGUCGCGGACACGCUAACAACAGUAACUGUUGAGCGGGUGUGGCGUGAUGAGUCUUUCAUUGAUCAAAUGAAAUCUAAACUGGACUUAUUUUACUUCAACACCUUCAUUGAUGUGUUCAUGUCAAUACAAUAAGAAUUAUAAAAAAGUGUAACUUGCCCCUUUGUUCCUUUGCAUUUCAAAUAUCCAAUCUCAAGCUGUGUGAAUCACUGUAAAUAGUUGUUACUCAUGAAACAUACACAGAUGUGCAAAUUUCUUUAAAAGGCAGUUGCAUAAUUUACAAAAAUGUGUUUUCUUAACUGCAGUUGUCUUGUAACCUGUGUUUUAAAAUUGCUUCUUCUUAAGGUUGUCUCAAGUAUUUGCAACUGUUGUUUAGAUUUGAUAUAUAUUAAUUUGCAGCAUAAUUUAAAUCAAUGUAUGGUGUACAAUUAUAAGAUAUGAAAUAGUUAAGGGUUUUUUGUUUUUACUAGAUAUUGUAAAUUGUACUCGAUUUGUUUUCCUUGCAAUUCAACUUAAACAAGAAAAUACAAUAAAAUAGUACA